rnacentral:rRNA from 1 species
UAGUGGCGAACGGGUGAGUAACACGUGAGUAACCUGCCCUUGACUCUGGGAUAAGCCUGGGAAACUGGGUCUAAUACCGGAUACGACUAUCUGACGCAUGUCAUGGUGGUGGAAAGCUUUUGCGGUUUUGGAUGGACUCGCGGCCUAUCAGCUUGUUGGUGGGGUAAUGGCCUACCAAGGCGACGACGGGUAGCCGGCCUGAGAGGGUGACCGGCCACACUGGGACUGAGACACGGCCCAGACUCCUACGGGAGGCAGCAGUGGGGAAUAUUGCACAAUGGGCGAAAGCCUGAUGCAGCGACGCCGCGUGAGGGAUGACGGCCUUCGGGUUGUAAACCUCUUUCAGUAGGGAAGAAGCGAAAGUGACGGUACCUGCAGAAGAAGCGCCGGCUAACUACGUGCCAGCAGCCGCGGUAAUACGUAGGGCGCAAGCGUUAUCCGGAAUUAUUGGGCGUAAAGAGCUCGUAGGCGGUUUGUCGCGUCUGCUGUGAAAGACCGGGGCUCAACUCCGGUUCUGCAGUGGGUACGGGCAGACUAGAGUGCAGUAGGGGAGACUGGAAUUCCUGGUGUAGCGGUGAAAUGCGCAGAUAUCAGGAGGAACACCGAUGGCGAAGGCAGGUCUCUGGGCUGUAACUGACGCUGAGGAGCGAAAGCAUGGGGAGCGAACAGGAUUAGAUACCCUGGUAGUCCAUGCCGUAAACGUUGGGCACUAGGUGUGGGGGACAUUCCACGUUUUCCGCGCCGUAGCUAACGCAUUAAGUGCCCCGCCUGGGGAGUACGGCCGCAAGGCUAAAACUCAAAGGAAUUGACGGGGGCCCGCACAAGCGGCGGAGCAUGCGGAUUAAUUCGAUGCAACGCGAAGAACCUUACCAAGGCUUGACAUGAACCGGAAAGACCUGGAAACAGGUGCCCCGCUUGCGGUCGGUUUACAGGUGGUGCAUGGUUGUCGUCAGCUCGUGUCGUGAGAUGUUGGGUUAAGUCCCGCAACGAGCGCAACCCUCGUUCUAUGUUGCCAGCGCGUUAUGGCGGGGACUCAUAGGAGACUGCCGGGGUCAACUCGGAGGAAGGUGGGGACGACGUCAAAUCAUCAUGCCCCUUAUGUCUUGGGCUUCACGCAUGCUACAAUGGCCGGUACAAAGGGUUGCGAUACUGUGAGGUGGAGCUAAUCCCAAAAAGCCGGUCUCAGUUCGGAUUGGGGUCUGCAACUCGACCCCAUGAAGUCGGAGUCGCUAGUAAUCGCAGAUCAGCAACGCUGCGGUGAAUACGUUCCCGGGCCUUGUACACACCGCCCGUCAA